rnacentral:tRNA from 1 species
AGUCAGUUAGCUCAGCCAGUUGAGCAUGGUGCUAACAACGCCAAAGUCGCGGGUUCAAUUCCUGUUCGGUCCC